UAGGGAAUAUUGGUAAUGGGCGAAAGCCUGAACCAGCAACGCCGCGUGAGUGAUGAAGGCCUUCGGGUUGUAAAACUCUGUCAGAUGGGAAGAACCCUGACCGAUUUAUAAGAUCGGACAGCUGACGGUACCAUCAGAGGAAGCUCCGGCUAACUACGUGCCAGCAGCCGCGGUAAUACGUAGGGAGCAAGCGUUGUCCGGAAUUACUGGGCGUAAAGGGUGCGUAGGCGGCAUGUUAAGUUAGAUGUCAAAUACCCGGGCUUAACCCGGGGACGCAUCUAAAACUGGCGUGCUUGAGUGCAGGAGAGGAAAGCGGAAUUCCUAGUGUAGCGGUGGAAUGCGUAGAUAUUAGGAAGAACACCGGUGGCGAAGGCGGCUUACUGGACAGAGACUGACGCUGAGGCGCGAAAGCGUGGGGAGCGAACA
rnacentral:rRNA from 1 species